UUGGUUGGUUGUGAUUAAUACUUUACCUUUUAUAUUUGUUUUUUUUUUCCUAACAUUAUCAACAUUUAUUUUUUGAUGAAUUAACAAAAUUACAGAUCUCCUCCUCCCAUUCUCUCCCUUCUGCUCCAGUAAAGAGAUUGUGAGAGAGGAUUGCUGUAUUCCAAGAAUCUCACAAGGGAAUGGACAAACAUGCCAGAUUUCUCUCUCUCUCGUUGCAGCGCUGGCUACCUUUAUCCAAUUGACAUAUGGAACUCUCUCCAUUUAGAACACACGAUGCUAUCAUAACCAUAUUCUUUGUUACUGUGCUCGUCCAUGUUGCAUGGAGUGCAUGUGAAGUUAAACUUGAAGCUGCUCACUUCAAAUCAAUUGCUGCCCGCACAUGUCUAGAAUUAUUGCCCUUGUUAUUCUAAUCAUAAUCCUUGACCCAGCCAUUGGGUGGUCACUUUUUUCUUAUGAGUCUUGUUGUUUAUACGGGUUUAUGUGAGGAAUUGUCACAAUUGUGUGAAAUGUUGUAUAAUGCAGUUCUGCCAGCAUAUAGGGGCUUAUCCAAUGUAGUUCUGCAAGCAUAUCCAAGCAUAUGCAGAUCAUGCCAUGACAGAAGAGUUAAAUGUUGAGUCAAUUAGGUCAGUUGUGUAGUCUGACCCGAGCCAUUGAAGACAAUCAUUUGUUGGUGUCUCAUUGGAUUUGUUACCUGACAGUGUUUAUCCAACAAAUGAUUCUCUUCAAUGGCUCGGUCAGGUUACACAAGCGAUCUAGUUGGCUCAGUAUUUAUCGCUUCUGUCAUGCUAUGACCUAUAUAUACUUGAAUAACUGCAUUGUAAAGACCACAUGCUUGGAGAACUACAUUGCAAAGACCCCUAUAUGCUAGAACUGCAUAAAGACCCCAUAAGCUUGGAGAAUUGCCUUGUACAAUGAUUCACACAAUUGUGACCAUUCCUCAUGUAAAGUAUAUGCUACCCAUUGUGCGGGCAGCAAUUGAAUGCUAUAGAUGUACACAUGAAAUUAGACUAUGUAAAACCCUUUUUGUGGUUGUAAGAUUAUUUUUUUUCA